rnacentral:tRNA from 1 species
UGUGGACGUGCCGGAGUGGUUAUCGGGCAUGACUAGAAAUCAUGUGGGCGCCUGCCUAGGUUUGAAUCCUGCCGUUCACGU